AGGGAAAUAGGUCAGUAGCAGAGCACAGGCUUGGCAUGCAUGAGGUUCUGGGUUCAAUCCCCAGUACCUCCA
rnacentral:tRNA from 1 species